rnacentral:rRNA from 1 species
AAGUAGCUAGUCUAACCUUCGGGAGGACGGUUACCACGGUGUGAUUCAUGACUGGGGUGAAGUCGUAACAAGGUAGCCGUAGGGGAACCUGCGGCUGGAUCACCUCCUUAAUCGACGAC